UCACAGUGUCAGCCAAGAGCCCAACACGGGGCUUGAACCCACAAACCAUGAUACCAUGACCUGAGCCGAAGUCGGAUGCUUAACUGAGUCACCCGGGCUCCCCUGCUGUCCCAACUGUUUAGGUGAAAGUGAAGGGCAGAAAACAGCUUGAACUUCCCAGAAUGUUCUAUUAAUGGAUUACAAAGCUUUGUUACCUCUUAGAAGAAUUUAUCUUAUCUCUUAACAUACAAAAAUAGUAAUCACUAAGUAUACAUAUGUAAGAAAGUGAUAUCACUUGGGGGGAUGUUAAAUUUUCAUACACCUUUUAUCCUCUAAGAAGGAAGAGACAUCUAUUCCCAACUAUGUCAGUUCCUAAAACAUAAGGGGGAAAACCCCACAAUAAAUUGCAAGCCUAAGAAUCUAUUAUUAAGGCAGAUUAACGCUGCAUCCCACAAUGUUGUCAAAAAACCCAGAUGUGUCAUGUUUGAGUUGCAUUUUCAUUACGUGCACAUACUUGGCUUUGAGCAGAAUUAUAUGAGUUGGAUUAAUUUUUUAUAUGGCCCUCCAGCAGCUCUAUGUGGAACCAUAUGGGAGACAUUUGGUUCUCAUCAACUCCCUUUUACCCUUCCUUACACUCCAUUGCUUUAAACUGAACUUUCAUUCUCUUUAACUAUCUGCAGGUUUUAUUCUGUUCAGAGAGAAGAGCCACUAAAAUAUUAUGACCUCUAAGUGACGGGCUGUGAGACAGGGUCUCUCUCCAAAGCCAGCCCACAGCUGUGCAUUGAUCGCACGUGUCGGUGGCCUGGUGUAGGCUGUGGAGCGGGUCUGUUCUCUUUCAUCUCACUGGGCGGAUACUUAGAACAUGGUUUGCUUCUCUCUUGUGGUCUGUAAGGAAGUGGAAGGAUUCAGUUUUCAGCCCUGAUAUUAUGGUGGUUUUUGCUAGGCUUGAAAUUCACUUUUCAAAGAGGGUAGAUAUUUUAUAAGGGGAAUGGUUGUUAGGAGAUUUUCUGAGAUUCAACUUCAGUGAUACCAAGGCUUCCCUGUAAAGAUUUCAGACACAUCAGCAUGAUUAUUUGCUAACCACUCUGCAGGGGAGGGCAGUGGUAAAUAUCAAUGAGUGUCUAUAAUAAAGGAGCCCAAGACUGGGAUGUAGUAGAAUGCCAGCCAGCGUUUGAAUUUAGGUUUGCUUAUGACUCAGAAUUUCUCUCCUCAUAGUCUGGCCCAUCCGGUUUCCUUCCUUGAUGGGCAGAGAAGACGCUGAGAGAAAAAGUACAAAAGUACAAAAGUACAAAAGUACUGUCUGUGUGUUGUAAAUAUGUGCUCUGGGGUGGAAACCUGAGACCAGAGCAUCGCUUAUAAUCAUGAGGUCAAUUAACAUUUGACACAAGAAUUUGAAACAACCUGACGCUGGAGGCAUAGAAACAGAGGCUGUGUCAGGUCCAACUAAAAAGAAACCUAAGAGGUAAAGGGAAAAGUGUGGCCCCAAAUUUGUUGUAAGAAGGUUGUGUAUAAAAAUGUCAUCAGCCUGGAUUGAAUACCUGAGUUAGUUCAAAACCUAGUAUGAUCACUUACUAGCUUUGAACUUGGAUUCUUACUCCCUCUGUGACCAAAGCUGUUUACAAGACGCAGAUCAUUGUGAAACUUUCUCAGAAUUCACCUCUUUAAAAGAUCUUUUCCGGUGCCUGGGUGGCUCAGUCGCAACAUCCUGGUACUGAAUUCCUUCCAACCAUUGUUACCUUUAUUUGCAAUUGAGUUAGUUGAUGACUGCCUAGGCUCUCCCGGUUGGCUCAUGCCUUUAAGCCCAAUUCAGUGAGCUCCAGCAGAGAGGAGAUAAGAAAAAACUAUUUAUGGUCAUCAGGGAAGAGGAAGAAAUCCCUAGCUGGUCACCAAGAGCUGAAGUAAAGUCUUCCCAGAACAGAGUCUGUGAAGAUACGGCAGACGUGUUUGAGUUUCAGAUGAUCAGCAGUGCAGGCCCCGACCGAGCGAUUUGCCGCUGUCUUUGCGUCUACGCCUAUCUUCACCUCAGACCGGUUCUCCCUCUACAUCAAGUCACUGAAUAGGAAUCAGUCUGCACAGAAAACACGAAAGUGAGAAUGGAGAAGAAGCUAUUUCACCCAUGAAAUGGGCCAGUGAGAUUCCUCACCUCCAGUCCUGGAAGAUGCCUGGAAACCGGUGCCCUUUGUCAGCCUCGUGAAUUCAUAAUCACUUGUGAGUGCUUCAUUUUCCCCCAACCCCCCACCCUCAUUCUUUCUUUCUCCUGAGUGGCAUUUACUGGUUGUUUGGGAACAGACAUUUAUAGACAAUGAGCUACAGUUGGGUUGUCUUCAGAAGAGUCACUGAAGAAUCGAGAACGCCAAGCACCGAGUCACCACUUGUCUUAUACAUUUGAUUAAAUAUGCUUGUCUGUUUUCAA